UAACACGUGGACAACCUGCCCUUAGGACGGGGAUAAACCCGGGUAAACUGGGUAUAAUACCCGAUAGGUCUCGAUUGCUGGAAUGCAUCGAGAUUUAAAGCUCCGGCGCCUAAGGAUGGGUCUGCGGCCUAUCAGGUAGUAGUGGGUGUAGCGUACCUACUAGCCUACGACGGGUACGGGUUGUGAGAGCAAGAGCCCGGAGAUGGAUUCUGAGACACGAAUCCAGGCCCUACGGGGUGCAGCAGGCGCGAAAACUUUACAAUGCUGGCAACAGCGAUAAGGGAACCUCGAGUGCCAGGUUACAAAUCUGGCUGUCGAGAUGCCUAAAAAGCAUUUCAUAGCAAGGGCCGGGCAAGACCGGUGCCAGCCGCCGCGGUAACACCGGCGGCUCGAGUGGUAACCGUUAUUAUUGGGUCUAAAGGGUCUGUAGCCGGCCGGAUAAGUCUCUUGAGAAAUCUGGCAGCUUAACUGUCAGGCUUUCAGGAGAUACUGUCUGGCUCGAGGCCGGGAGAGGUGAGAGGUACUUCAGGGGUAGGGGUGAAAUCUUGUAAUCCUUGAAGGACCACCAGUGGCGAAGGCGUCUCACCAGAACGGACCUGACGGCUAGGGACGAAAGCUAGGGGCACGAACCGGAUUAGAUACCCGGGUAGUCCUAGCCGUAAACGAUACUCGCUAGGUGUCGCCACGGUGCGACCGUUGUCCGGGCCGUANGGAANCCCGUGAAACGAGCCCCCUGGGGAGUACGGCCCCAGGCUGAAACUUAAAAGGAAUUGGCCGGGG
rnacentral:rRNA from 1 species